rnacentral:rRNA from 1 species
AACGAACGCUGGCGGCAGGCUUAACACAUGCAAGUCGAACGCCCCGCAAGGGGAGUGGCAGACGGGUGAGUAACGCGUGGGAACAUACCCUUUCCUGCGGAAUAGCUCCGGGAAACUGGAAUUAAUACCGCAUACGCCCUACGGGGGAAAGAUGUAUCGGGGAAGGAUUGGCCCGCGUUGGAUUAGCUAGUUGGUGGGGUAAAGGCCUACCAAGGCGACGAUCCAUAGCUGGACUGAGAGGAUGAUCAGCCACAUUGGGACUGAGACACGGCCCACACUCCUACGGGAGGGAGCAGUGGGGAGUAUUGGACGAUGGGCGCAAGCCUGAUCCAGCCAUGCCGCGUGAGUGAUGAAGGCCUUAGGGUUGUAAAGCUCUUUCACCGAUGAAGAUAAUGACGGUAGUCGGAGAAGAAGCCCCGGCUAACUUCGUG